rnacentral:rRNA from 1 species
GAUAAGUGCUCUCCUA